rnacentral:rRNA from 1 species
GACGGACGCUGGCGGCGUGCUUAACACAUGCAAGUCGAGCGGAAAGGCCCUUUUGGGGGUACUCGAGCGGCGAACGGGUGAGUAACGCGUGAGUAAUCUGCCCUUGGCUUCGGGAUAGCCACCGGAAACGGUGAUUAAUACCGGAUACGACACAUCACUGCAUGGGGUUGUGUGGAACGUUUUUUCGGUGGGGGAUGUGCUGGCGGCCUAUCAGCUUGUUGGUGGGGUAAUGGCCUACCAAGGCUUCGACGGGUAGCCGGCCUGAGAGGGUGACCGGCCACACUGGGACUGAGACACGGCCCAGACUCCUACGGGAGGCAGCAGUGGGGAAUAUUGGACAAUGGGCGGAAGCCUGAUCCAGCAACGCCGCGUGAGGGAUGACGGCCUUCGGGUUGUAAACCUCUUUCAGUACCGACGAAGCGCCCUGUCGGGUGGUGACGGUAGGUACAGAAGAAGCACCGGCCAACUACGUGCCAGCAGCCGCCGUAAAAC